GCUUAGGGGCUUCUUCACUUCUACUAUUUUGUAAUUCAUCCAUUCAGGGCUUAUUUAGGACUUACUCCCCACUAGGACCUGGACUGUGCACUGAGGUUACAGGAGUGACUAAAACAGUGCCUCAAGGAGCAACCCAUCCAGUGGAGGAGCCAGCCCUGUGAAGGUGCCAUGACGAGACCGCAUGGGACGACCACACACACGUGCAUGCACACAUGCAGUGAGGGAAUCCAGCAGACAGGAGGUCCACCCAGAUACUCCAGGAUAAUUGCCCCCUUCAAGACCCUCAACAGUGACAUCUGCAGAGACCUCAUAUCUAUAUAAGGGAAGGGAGACAAGUCCAGAGGCAUGGACCCUGGAAGAGGGACUGUCUGAUGAAGAGAAGAAAGAGGCCUUCAAUAUCACCAACCUAUAGCCUGGAUGCAGAGAUAAAGAGGUUUUCUGGAGGAAACCAUGACCCACUCGUCCUCUGCAGGGGAUCCAGGUUCAUUUGACAGCUAGUCGGUUACAGCUGGAGGGUGAAGCCAGUUGAGUACCACUGGGCCUCCAAGGACCCCAGCUCCUCUUGAACCAUCAGCUCAGAACAGUGCCCCACCCAGGCGGAGCGAGGAACCUUGGGCCUGUGCCUGGAGGGGACAAAAAUGAGCAUGGCCUGGCACCCACCACACUGUACCCCCCACACCCCUAAUCCCCACGGCUCUUCACCUUUCUCUCCCCUGUUAGACUGUGAGCUCCUGGAAGGCAGAGCCCACAUCCUCUCCAUCCCUGUUUCCCCACAGCCUCAUACAGCUCCACCAAUGUUUGUGGGAAGAAGUAAAUGAAUGACUAAAUACACCUUAGACAAGUGGUUCACCCCCUAAUCCUCUACUUCCUUAUCUGUAAAGUAGAAAUGACAACAGCUACUAACUAGAGUAUAGUGAAGAUUGAAUGACAUCAUGAAUGUGAGAGCCCCCAAUAUGGACCUAGCAAAGCAGAUGCUCAAAAAUCCUUUCUUCUCAGGGGGAAGAGUUCAGUGCAGUGGUAGAGCAUGUGCUUGGCAUGCACCAGGUCCUGGGUUCAAUCCCCAGUACUGCCAUUAAAAUAUAAAUAAAUAAAAACCUAAUUACCCCCACCCAGUUUAAAAAAAAUUCAUCUGUAUCCCCACUUUAAAAAAACGGCAUUCUCUCUUUUGCCUUUAACCACACCUCCUGACUUAAGUACUCCCUGAACUUCACAUUUUCUAGGCUGAACUUGAUAGGCCACCAGUGAUUGAAGAAUCAUAAAAUAUCUGAGCGGGAGGGUACCAGUGGUGGACAUCUGCCUUGUUUGGUUUCCCACUCUUAAUCUAGUUCCCUAUCACAACACCCAUUUUCCCCCAUUGAACCCCAAGUCUCAGUCCCUGUGGCUCAGGAGGGGUUGACUGCACCCGGAUGCUCAGUGCGGAUAGAGUCAACCUUUUCCUGGCAAGCAGAGCACUGAAUUCCUUUCGCCACAGUGAUUAGUCAGCUAUGGCACAUGCCCAAUGAGAUGCAGUUCUGGGACUUGUGAGAGAGGGAAUCGCCCUUAGCGCUGAGGGGAUGGAACAUCCACCAGGAGCUGCUGGCCGCCAUUUUGCUUCUGUCAGGAGAGAGUCUGUAGGAUAACGGAACCAACGCUCAGGAAGCAGCUUGACACCAAGCCCUGAUGACACCAUCUGAGUCUUUUGAUCCAGGCAUGCCUAAAACCAGUAUUCCUUUGGACUUUAAAGUUUUGUGAGCUAAUGAAUCCCCCUUUUUACCUAAGUCAGUUGAAUCGGGUUUUCUGUCACUUGCAACCAAAGGAAUUCUGACUAAUACAAGACCUUGGAGUUUACCUCAUUAAACCUCUUAAUCUUACAGACAAGGAACAGAUUUGCAAAAUCACAUAGACAGAUUUUUACACAAUCAAUCUUGCAAAUAAAUAUAUUGCCUCACUUGCUUUUAUCUUUACUGCUGACCAGAACAGGGAUAUGUUGCCCUUCUGCCUGGAUAGGGUCAUACAACACUGAUUUUGGUCAAAGAA